CAAUAAUGUGUAAGUGGAAGUUCCUUUGAGUAUAUUAUGUCAUUUACGGGUGUAAGUAAUCCGUAACAGCAUUUUGUUGAGGGUGCAAUAAUAUUUUAGAGACACUUGGUGAUGUGUCCGCAUCGUGCGGGAGCGCGCGAAACAGGCACUGCUUGUCUUCCAACUUUUGGACGGCAGUCACUUAUUUUGUAGCCGGGAUUUUCUCGGUGAGAUUUCACCUUCCUCUUGCUGUUUGCCAGCAUAAUCAUGUGCUGAGAGGGAAGGUGGGCGCCUCUGGAACCUGUGGCAAUAUGUAGGCGCGGUCUACUGUGAGACCUUCAUUUAUUGCACCUGGGGAUCUUUACUAUACGGGAUCUUUACUAUACGGGAUCUUUUGCCUGGUGAUCUGUCUUUGCAUCGUGACCGGGAUCCACACACAUAGCACAUAUACUGGGGAAGUUUUGGGAUCAACAUCUGUUCAUCAUGUUCAUUAACUGCAACUGAUCUAAUUAACUCAUUGUUAUUCUACUGAUUUGCUGAUGAUUGAAUAAAUUCUCUAUUAAUCGCUGAAAUUGAACUGAA